rnacentral:misc_RNA from 1 species
GAUGAAGAACGUAGCGAUAUGCGAUAAGUAAUGUGAAUUGCAGAAUUCAGUGAAUCAUCGAAUCUUUGAACGCACAUUGCGCCCUUUGGCAUUCCGAAGGGCACACCUGUCCGAGCGCCGUCGCACAACUGAGGCGCAGCCUUGCGUUGGCGGGCGACUUGUGAGUAGCGAGUCGCCGCCCAAACGAGACGGCGCCGCGCCGCGGCCGACGAAGCACGAAAGCGGAAGUCGACGCGGAGGCGGUUGCCUGUAGGAAGACACAGCUUGGCCUCGGAUCAGGUGGGGAUACCCGCUGAACUUAAGCAUAUCAAUAAGCGGAGGA